CCAGAGCAGGCACUUGAGGCAAUGUAGGCGAGGCAUUUUGGAGCUGUGAGAUCCCUGAGCUGGAGGCCAAGCCCUCGGUGAGGCAAUACUGGCUCCGUGCCACAGCCGAGGAAGCAGAAGGGACAGUUUUCUCUUUGCUUCCUCGCAAAGGACAAUGGUCUAUUCGCAGGCAAUACCAGCUGGAGAGGCCACUGCCUCACCUUCCACCCAAGGUCCAGCAGGGCCUUGCCACAGUGCUCCCCAGAAGCAACUGCCCUCCUUGCCUACCCCUGCCAUGCUUUCAUCUUCCCUAGCACCUUUGCAACAGUCCUUUUUCACCCAUCGCAAUAGCACUUAGAACAGCUAGAGCCUAGGUAAGACUGGGCCUUGUGGUUACAAAUGACAACGUCCCAACCUCGGAGUCACGUUGGCUGGAGCAAGGAUUGACAAGUCCCAAAGCACAAACACUGAUACCCAGGGCGUGGUAAGCUGGGGGUUAGCUGAGGACCCUCAACUUCUCUUUCUUCAACACAUUUUCUGUGUAUUUUCCUAGGGGUCCAGAGUGUACAUUGGCUUUGCUGAUAAACUUAUCAGUAGCAGAGUGAAACAUCCGUUUCAUUUGCACUGUUUACACAGAGCCUGUUUCUCCAGUUGGUAAGGCGGGAUUGAGCGAACAGGGUGACCCUGUGUUUUCUUCCAUCCCCCAUGAACGUUGCUCCUAGCAGCGUGUGCUAUGCGUCAGAAGAUGGGGGAGAGAUGCUGCGUCAAGGUCCAGCCCUCCCCCACUCCCAUCCUGGAGGUCUUCACCUCCACACUGGAGGUCUUCUACUCCUAUACAUCAUUCUCAGCCCCAACCCAACCCCUAGAGAUGAGGAAAGGCUGCGGCACAGUAUGUGGAUGCCGAUUACAUCUCCAAACAGGAGGAACACACAAUCGGUGGGAUCCGCCUGCUUUCUAGCCCCUUUGUGCUCAGGGGCAGAAAUACAAAUAAGCCUCAAGGUCUUUUUCCUGCUUAUACGAACUGAGAUCCGUUUUUCAAUAGCAGGCCAUGGCAGAUAAGUAUUCUCUUUUCUUGGUAUUUAUUUUUGGGGAGGGAAAGCCUUUCGCUGGCUCCCAUGACACUCCCCUCCAGCACAAGGGAGGUGCAGCGGGGUGGCAGGUAGAGCUGUGAUUCAGGGAUGCUCCUACACCCGCUGGAAGCUGGUGUUGCCAUGCCAACCCCACGUAGCCUGUGCACAGGCAGACCAGGGCACAGCAGGCUGCUACAAGGUCUGUGCUUUUGCAGAUAGAUUAGUCCCAGGACCCUCCAGAGGAGGAUUCGGUCAAAGCUUCGUGCCAGGACCACAGGACAGGUGAUGGUGUCCCCAUGCAUUCUCAGCUCAGCUGCUCAUCUCUCCCUCGCCAUCCAGCCCAUUUGCUUGGGUUGCCUCAGAGAGAAUAGGACCAUAAACUUCACGAGCGAGUUUUCCUCCUAAAUGAAUUACAUCACACAACCAUUGCUAAUAGCUCGUGCUGUUUCAGAAGGACCACAGAGACAGAAGCGGGUAGGAAUGGCAACAACGCUCCCAACAAGCCCAGGCACCCCCUGGCAGGAGCCGCACCCACCCUUCACCCGCUCAGCACGUAACGUCAUGCACCGCCUGAGACAGCAACCCAGAGCCCAUCUAGCGCAAAACCCACAGGACACAAACAAUUACCUUUCCUCUGCUUGGACUCACCAAAAGGGGUAUUUUAAAAACCGUUCUUUCCAAAAAGCACUAAGUGACAAAUCCAGCCCUGUGCAAAGCCAACAGAAGUGGAGGGCCCUGCAGACAGCUCAUAGGGUGAAGACUCAGGUGUUUUUAUUCAGCAUCUAGAAGAAGACACAAAUGCUUGGAUCGAGUCUCUCUAGACACAUUUCUUAGUAUUUCCUGUUAGUGGGAACACAGAGGACUGGAUAUGCAAUCUCCUAACACUCUGGUUUGUGCCUCCAGCUAUAUUUAAUCCAUACACCAGGGCAACAGCUUGCUACUACUACUAGCUGAAAGAACUACAGUGGAAGUGACUGCUGAACCUGAGAAGAAUGAGAAUAAAGACAGCCUGCAGUUACAGCCUUUACUCCCUCUGACCUCCUAACCAGAGCAGUAUCCUGUGGAGAGAGAAAUCUAGAUCCCAUUGAAUGGGAGAAAGUUGACCGGGAAAGGCAGCAGCAUCCCUUUGAUGGCAGAGCCAAGGAAGAAAACUAUCUAACUCUUCCAUUGCAAAGUUUCCACUGGACCAAAAA